GGCUCCGGCGCCAGGCAGUAAGUACCUCUGCUCUCGGCUGAUCCUGGGUCCCUCCCUCUGUCUUAGCUCUCCAGAGCCAUGUGGUGAACUCUGACUGCAGCACAGAGGCCCAGGGACCCCCAGCCUCCCAGCUCCCACCACGGCUCCUGGCCUGCCUCCUCUGUCGCUUAGAAGUCCACCUGCUCUUAAGGCGGCUGGGGGACUCCUCUGGCUCAGUGUGCGGGCUUCCCCAUUUUCUGUACUCAGAAGCCAAGGAAUUGGACUCCUGUGUUGUCUGCAUUCUUCUGUGUUAUUCCCUAGGUCAGCAGCACACCCAGCUGCCCCGUGGGGACUGGAGAGGAGGCACGGCAUGGCGGGAGGCAGGGUGGGGACCCAGGAAAUUCCAGGGAGAGAGGCACUGGUGCUGGCGAGGCCUUUCUCUCCAGAGGCCGUCUUCCCGUGUCCCCGUCAUUCUCGAACACUUCCUAACUUCCUGGCACCAAAAGACGUUCUGUUACCUCGUUCCAUCCCUGGCCCAACCCUGGAAUCAGUCGUUUCUUCAAGGAAGGGUCUCGAGUUUAAGUUGGCGGUGUGGUUCCCACAUGAGGGGGAACAGUGUGUGUAGGCGCCGAGAGAGUUUAUUUAUGAAACACAACAUUAAAAAACCCCAG
rnacentral:lncRNA from 1 species